rnacentral:tRNA from 1 species
CUCCCCGUAGUUCAACGGAUAGAACGAGGGACUUCUAAUCCCUUAAUCGAGGUUCGAUUCCUCGCGGGGAGA